CAGUAGCCGCGGUAAUACAGAGGUCUCAAGCGUUGUUCGGAUUCAUUGGGCGUAAAGGGUGCGUAGGCGGUCGGGUAAGUCGGAUGUGAAAUCCUGGGGCUCAACCUCAGAACUGCAUUCGAUACUGCUUGGCUAGAGGACUGGAGAGGAGACUGGAAUUCACGGUGUAGCAGUGAAAUGCGUAGAUAUCGUGAGGAAGACCAGCGGCGAAGGCGGGUCUCUGGACAGUUCCUGACGCUGAUGCACGAAGGCCAGGGGAGCAAACGGGAUUAGAUACCCCUGUAGUCCCUGUCUCUUAUAC
rnacentral:rRNA from 1 species